ACAUACGUAUUAGAAAAAAAAACAUGUACCUCUCUACUUUGAGGUUAACAUCAAAACCCAUAAGACAAUUUUCAUCAAUGUCGUCUGUUAAGCUGCAGUUGCAUGAUAAGGGCAAUCAUGUGGUGAUGGAUAAUGGCAUUGCACGGGUAACAUUAUCAAAGCCUGAUGGUAUCGUUACCGGAAUCGAAUAUAAUGGCAUUGAUAACUUGCUCGAGGUUCUUAAUGAAGAAGUCAACAGAGGGUAUUGGGAUCUCGUAUGGGGAGGAUCCGGAACAGCUGGUGGAUUUGAUGUAAUCAAAGGAACAAACUUUGAGGUAAUAAUGAAAAACGAAGAACAAAUUGAGCUUUCUUUCACAAGAAAAUGGGAUCCAUCACUAGAAGGCAAAGCAGUCCCUCUGAACAUUGACAAAAGGUUGACGAUAAGUACCAUUCAUGUGAGAACAAAGACAUUACUGUCCAUGGAUGGAUAUGCACAGAGCAGCCGUCGGUUGGUUUCUGGCUCAUAACUCCUAGCCAUGAGUAUCGAACCGGUGGACCUCAAAAACAGAACUUGACAUCUCACGUUGGACCUACUGCUCUUGCUGAUUAAUAUAAAAAUGUUUUCCUUUAAAACAGUUAGAAAUGUAGACAAGAAGUUUAACGCUGGAUCCUCAGGUAAUUUAUGAGUGCACACUACACAGGGGACGAUCUAGUGCCAAAGUUUAGUGAAGGAGAGGCAUGGAAGAAGGUCUUUGGCUCUGGCAAGAUGCUAAAUCUAUUUAAACUCGUCUACUGAUGAUUAUGAAUGUGGAAACUGAAAGCUGUGGCCUUACAGUUUUCCAGCUUCAGAUGACUAUGUGAAAGCAGAUCAACGUGGUAAUGUUGUUGGCAGACUUCUCGUUCAAGACAGCCAUCGGUGGUGCCAUAAAUUCUAAAAUCUUCGUCUAAUCCGUCUAACUCUGCCGGAUCUAGUUUCGUAGUAUCCAUACCCGACACCACUUGUCUUCCCCAAAACAGCGAAGAAAAUCUUUCUGGUGGCACCUCUAGCAGUGGUGACUUGGACUUACUAGAUGCCGAUAUUAGUAAGGGAGAUCUUACGGACGCUGUCGGACGGAGGUCUCCUAACGCAGCAGGCCCAUCUGGGAGCGGUGAUCCAUUGAUGGACCAGGAUCUGCAUUCGAUGUACAAGUCCAUCAAGGUUUUGUCCAUUUAGUUGGGUUUAUUGAGAAACGAUAAAGAUUAAUGGCGACAAACACUUCAAAUUUUUUUUUUCUCUCUCACUUCUCCCACGUGCAACAUUUCUCCUUUACUAAGACAAGGAUGCAUAUACAGACCUUAUUGUGUCUCCGGUGGACCAAAUUCAAUGCUUGGACAGGUCUGUCCAUGCCCACGCUAAUCAUACAAUCGACAAGUGGAUAGACAAAUGUCGGUAGACCAGAUCCGAAUCAUGUCUUCUAAAUCUGGUCCAUCAAGUAAUAUCUAGCUUUACUUCCAAUGAUGGCUUCUUGGAUUCCAACACUUGUGUCCACCAGCUGAGCCCGUAGAUCUGAGUAACAGAGAAAAAAAACUAAUCAGAUCUGAAAAUUGAUAUCUUCAAAUAGAUAAAAUUGAUAGACGACUUAAUAGACAUAAAAAUUAGGUAAUGUCUCUUACCUUGUGUUGUCCAAUUCUGUGAAAAACAAUGUUGUAGAAACAAUAAAUGGAGAGAUUCGCUUGGAAUGUGAAAAGAUGAUUGAUUGCAGAGAAAUUGAAGGUU